rnacentral:rRNA from 1 species
GAUGAACGCUGGCGGCGUGCCUAAUACAUGCAAGUCGAGCGAAUGGAUUAAGAGCUUGCUCUUAUGAAGCUAGCGGCGGACGGGUGAGUAACACGUGGGUAACCUGCUCAUAAGACUGGGAUAACUCCGGGAAACCGGGGCUAAUACCGGAUAACAUUUUGAACCGCAUGGUUCGAAAUUGAAAGGCGGCUUCGGCUGUCACUUAUGGAUGGACCCGCGUCGCAUUGGCUAGUUGGUGAGGUAACGGCUCACCAAGGCAACGAUGCGUAGCCGACCUGAGAGGGUGAUCGGCCACACUGGGACUGAGACACGGCCCAGACUCCUACGGGAGGCAGCAGUAGGGAAUCUUCCGCAAUGGACGAAAGUCUGGCGGAGCAACGCCGCGUGAGUGAUGAAGGCUUUCGGGUCGUAAAACUCUGUUGUUAGGGAAGAACAAGUGCUAGUUGAAUAAGCUGACACCUUGACGGUACCUAACCAGAAAGCCACGGCUAACUACGUGCCAGCAGCCGCGGUAA